GGGAAUGUAGCUCAGUGGUAGAGCAAGUGCUGAGCAUACACAAGGUCCUGGGUUUGAUCCCCAGCACCACCA
rfam:Ictidomys tridecemlineatus contig062178, whole genome shotgun sequence.